CUCCCCUCAGGAUCGCACCUGGAGAGUUUCCAGUACUCUACCAGUUUGGGCUAUGGGAGGGAGGGGUCAAGUAGAGGCCUACCUAUUCCAUUCCUAGCUUAGGCAGUGGCUAGUGAGUGGAAGGCAAUUUGCUACAAGU